UCUAUAUUUCUACAGAAUUUCUCUUGUCUCCUGGCCAAUUUCUUGUGUUGUCAGAAAGUUAUACAACAUAAGCUUGCAAAUAAAAAUCAAGAGAGAUUGAGUUGCAUGGAUUCACAUACCUCAUACAAAGUGAUUUACUGAAGCAUCCUUAGUAAAACACCAGAAACAACCUAAAUGACCAUCAACAGCAGACAGCACAGCUUUAUAAUGGAAUAUUAGGCAGGCCUUGCAAACAAGUAUCUGCAUAGAAGACAACUUCAAUAAAAAACACCAGGUCAGCGGAUAAGACUAUGCCAUUCACAGGUUUGUGACUUGAGGCCUGAGCACCGAUGAUCCACUCCACAUCAGUGGAGAAGGUUUGAAAGUAAGGACGCUGGGGACAUUUUCUGAAGUUGGAGAAAUGGAAUGGUGGAGAAGCCAGUAUUGGGGUACUUGUGAGUGGAGCAGAGUUGGCAACAAAUCUCAAUAAAGCUUUUCCACUGUA